CUCUCACCCCAGGAGACCAGCGACCUGAGCAGGAAGAUGCCCUGUCCUGUACUGCCUGACUCUACCUGGAGCACCAGGCUCCUCUGCUGUGUUACUCUUUUUAUCCUGGUAGCAGGUUCAGUGGAUUCUGGAGUCAUCCAGUCUCCACGACACUUGAUCAAAGUAAAGAGAGAAAUGGCCAUUCUGAAAUGCUACCCCAUCUCUGGACACAAGAGUGUGUACUGGUACCAGCAGGUUCCGGGUCAGAACCCCCAGUUCCUCAUUUCAUAUUAUGAAAAGAUGGAGAACGAGAAAGGAAACAUCCCUCACCGAUUUUUGGCUCAACAGUUUGGUGACUAUCAUUCAGAGCUGAACGUGAGCUCCUUGGAGCUGGGGGACUCUGCCCUGUAUCUCUGUGCCAGCAGCUUAGGCACAGCCCUGCAGAGUCACUGGUUUUCUAUACCCAAACCUUCCUGUCACAGUUGA